rnacentral:lncRNA from 1 species
AUUGAAGAAAUAAUAACAUUCUUAUAAAAUUUUAUUGAACUACAUUUUCAUCACUUAAAUUCGUAUCAACAUUACUGUAUAUAUAGUCAAGUUGUCAGGUUAAAAACGAUGCUCAAAGAUAUAUGGCUCCUAAAGACUAGGAUAUUUCAAAUUUAAAUAUUUCUCGAUUUGGCACUUGAAAAAAAUGUUCUUAUAUAUGUUCAAUUGAGUAUGGAACCGAUGUCUAGUCGUAAUGUUUGGAUGUUUAAAAAUAUUAUUUCUGAGUUUAAUGAAGUAUGUUGUCAAAUGCAUCGCCAAAAUGUCAAGGGAAUUAAUUUGCUUCAAGCAAUGGAAUUUGUUGUCAACGACAAUGUUUUGCCAACCAAUUGACCACUUAUUCGCAUUACAAAGAAUUGACUUCUCUUAGCAUCUAAACAUCGCGAUAAAAUCAUUAUUUUCCAUACUCAAGUGAAACCUUUUGUUCAAUUUAUCAAAAACACUUAGUUCGUAUUACUUUGUCUUUGAGCCAUAUAUUUUCUUUGUAAAACAACUUGGUGUUACGGUUUGGAUUUCUCCGUCAAACUCGUAAAUUUUUUCGUUAUUAGAGUUGUUUUACAAUAUUUAUUUUGAAGUAUAAACAUUUAUCUUGAAAAGACAAAGUUCUCUUGUUUCCUCAAGAAUUAACUUUUCAAUGUUAAUUCACGGGUAAACAUGUUUAAUGUUGUGUUUAUUCACUUGUGUUGAACACAAUGUUAAUUGUACUCCAUGUGCCAUGACCAUGUUCUGUUUUCUUCUAUUGUUAUUUAAAUAAGUACAGUAUGCAGUGGUUGUUCUCUUUUUAUUGUUAUUCAAAUUGUAAAAUUACAAGUUCUUUUCAAUAAAUUGUUCAUUAAUUAUACAAGAGACUCCUUUUUAAUUCAAAAUUCAAUUCCCAUGGGAAUUGAAAAAAAAAAUAAAAAAAAUCCCUCUACCCCGGCCGGCUCCCCAAGUGCUACCUCUACUUCAAGCAGAAGUAAAAGUACUUCUACUUAAAGUAGAGGUAGCACUCGGAGAGCCAGCCGGGGUAGCGGGGCGAAGAGAAGACCAACCUUGCAAAUGCUAAUGCAAAUUGCUAAGUUGAUCUUCUCUUGAGAGCAGCCACGCGCAUACCUAUAGUAAAUGUAAACAACAAGCGUUAGUAACAAAUACUCGACAUGCAAAUUUUGAAUCCCAUGGCCGAAACAACAAGUGCCCCCCCACUGAUUCCUACCAACUAACUACCUGCCUCAAUCCUAAGCUGUCUGCCUCGUUCCUAAGCUGUCUGCCUCGUUCCUAAGCUACCUGCAUUCUAUUCGUAACUUCCGCUUUCCUCACCAUCACACAGACACUCACAACUGCCCAACCUGCCACCUGCCCGAACUGCCCACCCUUAAAACUGAAGGUAUUAAAAUUUUGGUAAAGUAUAUUGCAUAGUUAAUUUAAUUAUUCGAAUAUUUUAGGCCAAACGCAAACAAAUAAAUUAAAGGUUGACGAUUAAG